rnacentral:rRNA from 1 species
AUUGGAGAGUUUGAUCCUGGCUCAGGACGAACGCUGGCGGCGUGCCUAAUACAUGCAAGUCGAGCGAAUCAUUGGGAGCUUGCUUCCUUUGAUUAGCGGCGGACGGGUGAGUAACACGUGGGCAACCUGCCUAUAAGACUGGGAUAACUUCGGGAAACCGGAGCUAAUACCGGAUAAUCCUUUUCUACUCAUGUAGGAAAGCUGAAAGACGGUGCAAGCUGUCACUUAUAGAUGGGCCCGCGGCGCAUUAGCUAGUUGGUGAGGUAAUGGCUCACCAAGGCGACGAUGCGUAGCCGACCUGAGAGGGUGAUCGGCCACACUGGGACUGAGACACGGCCCAGACUCCUACGGGAGGCAGCAGUAGGGAAUCUUCCGCAAUGGACGAAAGUCUGACGGAGCAACGCCGCGUGAACGAUGAAGGCUUUCGGGUCGUAAAGUUCUGUUGUUAGGGAAGAACAAGUACCGGAGUAACUGCCGGUACCUUGACGGUACCUAACCAGAAAGCCACGGCUAACUACGUGCCAGCAGCCGCGGUAAUACGUA